UACGGAGGGUGCAAGCGUUAUCCGGAUUCACUGGGUUUAAAGGGAGCGUAGGUGGGCUGGUAAGUCAGUGGUGAAAUCUCCGGGCUUAACUCGGAAACUGCCGUUGAUACUAUCAGUCUUGAAUGUUGUGGAGGUAAGCGGAAUAUGUCAUGUAGCGGUGAAAUGCUUAGAUAUGGCAUAGAACACCGAUAGCGAAGGCAGCUUGCUACACAAUAAUUGACACUGAGGCUCGAAAGCGUGGGGAUCAAACAGG
rnacentral:rRNA from 1 species